CCUACGGGGGGCUGCAGUGGGGAAUAUUGGACAAUGGGGGGAACCCUGAUCCAGCCAUGCCGCGUGUGUGAAGAAGGCCCUCGGGUGGUAAAGCACUUUCAGUGAGGAAGAACGCCUGGUGGUUAAUACCCAUCAGGAAAGACAUCACUCACAGAAGAAGCACCGGCUAACUCCGUGCCAGCAGCCGCGGUAAUACGGAGGGUGCGAGCGUUAAUCGGAAUUACUGGGCGUAAAGCGCGCGUAGGUGGCUUGAUAAGCCGGUUGUGAAAGCCCCGGGCUCAACCUGGGAACGGCAUCCGGAACUGUCAAGCUAGAGUGCAGGAGAGGAAGGUAGAAUUCCCGGUGUAGCGGUGAAAUGCGUAGAGAUCGGGAGGAAUACCAGUGGCGAAGGCGGCCUUCUGGACUGACACUGACACUGAGGUGCGAAAGCGUGGGUAGCAAACAGGAUUAGAUACCCGGGUAGUC
rnacentral:rRNA from 1 species